rnacentral:rRNA from 1 species
GAUGAACGCUGGCGGCGUGCCUAAUACAUGCAAGUAGAACGCUGAAGGAGGAGCUUGCUCUUCUGGAUGAGUUGCGAACGGGUGAGUAACGCGUAGGUAACCUGCCUGGUAGCGGGGGAUAACUAUUGGAAACGAUGGCUAAUACCGCAUGACAACAGUUAUUGCAUGAUAACUGUUUAAAAGGGGCAACUGCUCCACUACCAGAUGGACCUGCGUUGUAUUAGCUAGUUGGUGAGGUAACGGCUCACCAAGGCGACGAUACAUAGCCGACCUGAGAGGGUGAUCGGCCACACUGGGACUGAGACACGGCCCAGACUCCUACGGGAGGCAGCAGUAGGGAAUCUUCGGCAAUGGACGGAAGUCUGACCGAGCAACGCCGCGUGAGUGAAGAAGGGUUUCGGAUCGUAAAGCUCUGUUGUAAGAGAAGAACGAGUGUGAGAGUGGAAAGUUCACACUGUGACGGUAUCUUACCAGAAAGGGACGGCUAACUACGUG